rnacentral:lncRNA from 10 species
GCGCAGGGGCCGGCGACCCGAGGGCCGCGCGGCGGGGCUCCUGGGUGACCCCCAUCCCAGCCCUCCCGUGCUCGGGCCCCCUCCCCAAGCCGGUUAUGUUCACAUCCACCCGGGAGGGAGCUUUCUUCCGGGUGGGGCUGUGCACUGGGCGCGCCACAAGCUCGGUCGCAAUUGAGCCUUGCCGUGGACAGGCUCACAAUAGAAAUGAGGAAACUGAGACACCUGAGGUCAGGCCUCUGUCCAAGGUCACCGGGUGGCUGCGUUGGAGCCGCCUGCGAGCUUAGGCACGUUUCACCGGACCAGACUGUGGAUGGGGCUGGAGUGGGAGCGGUUAGAGGUGGAGAAGAGGCCAGUGUUGGGGGUUGGGGGGAGGCUCGGAUUUUGACCUAACUUCUGUUUAUACUGUGGCCACCUGCCCGUCACCCCCACCUCCAACCUUCUGAAGGAGCAGAGUUCACUCCCCGCCACCCUCAUUACAGAAUCUUCCUGUGAUCUCAGAGGAUGAUGGAAAUUCUCUCCUCUGAAUCCUUGGGGGCUUAGAGCCUCACAGGUCCAGAGAAACCCCCCACCCCCACUGCAGUCUGCCUUCGUUGGCAAGCGGUGCCACGUGCCUGGUGGGCAUGUGGACCAGGCCCAGAAGGAACAGCAGGAAUGGGAGU